CGCCCCAUCAACAAGCAAUGCCAGUGGCUUCUUUUGUUAAACUCAUUCAAGUUCAAGUGGAACUCAGACAACAAGUCUCUGUAGUGCAUAAGAGAAUAAUUAUGAAAUGAGUUUUCUGAAAUGACAAUUCAUGUGACAUCAGAUACUUCCUUACUUAUAAGAUGUGUUUGGAGGCAACUCCGCAUUGUCUUUUCUUUUCCUCAGCCAUUGAACAAGACAGCGAAGAAGCCACACAAUACUGCAAGCUGACUGGCUAGCAUCUGUGGAGUAGGAUAUGACAUCACACAGAGGGGCUUUUCUGUUUUUGAUAGAGGCUUUGAGUGCCUGGGCCAGGGCAGCCUUAAUAAAAAAAGAAGAUACAAACAUAUUAACAGAUCAAACACUGGCAUUAAUAUAUCAAGAACAAUGGUUAUUCAUACAAUGUACAGUUACCAUGAACACAGUUUUGCCCUCUCCAGGAUUUCCCUCAUUCUCUGUUUAGACUCCAGCUCUUUGUAACACACUUAUUCCCUUGUUUGCAGUAAGUUCCAGGUACGAGUGAAUCAGCACUACACAGAAGCAUCAGUGAUGCUAAAAUACAAUUUAUAACAACAUAAUCACAAUAAAGACAUUUACAUUUCAGCCAUACUUACAUUACUACUAUUUCCUUACAAAUGCUGAUGUACCAUGUAAUUUAGCAUUAUAAAACAUCAGAGCGUUUCUAAAUCAGCUGCACUGUGAAAUUCUGUCUUUUCUGUUAUGCAAUUAUUGUAUAUUUUUAUACUAGUGUUUCUGUUUCCUACUAUUUUUUUUUUUAUUAUUAACCGACUAGGCUAAAAGACAAGUCAGUGUUCAUUCCUGAUGGUAAACUAUGAAAAUUAAUUAUUUUGUUUAUUUUGUUAGUUUACCUAGCACAUUGUCAGGCGCAGCAGUCAGAAACAAGUGUGGCUCAGCACCUCCGGGUUUCCUCUCACAAACAAGCUCUGAAAAUGAGUUGCUCUUUGACUUUCCACCCAUGGCCUCGAGUGACCUCAACUCUGAGGACAGAAAAAAUGAGGGUGACAUUAACGCCAAAGUAGAUGAGGAGGAGGAUGAUGAUGAGAAUUUUGGAAAGAAAUGUGACCCAUCUACGAAGGUUGAUGAAAGUAAUUUUCAGUGUGCAGAAUUCACACUUCUUUACUUGUCUACAUUACCUUUUUUACCUUCAUGUUAUUUAUGUAGUAAUGGAAGAAAAUCUUUAGAGAGAGAAAUCUUUCCCACUGUUGUUAAUAAAAUGUAAGGUAUAUUUAAUUCUUUUGAAAACGGUAUUUUAUGCUCUCCAAGGCUGCAUUUCUGUAAUCAAAAAUGAUAGCAAAAACAGUAAUGUUGUGAAAUAUUAUUGCAAUUUGAAAUAUAUCUAUCUUCUAUUUGAACAUAUUUUAAAAUGUAAUUUAUUCCUGAGAUACAGAGCUAGAUUUUCAGCAGCCAUUACACCAGUCUUCAGUGUCUCGUGAUUCUUCAGAAAUCAUUCUAAUUUGCUGACACUUAAUUAACUCAAUUAAUUUUUUUUAUCAUCAUCAAUGUGGCUCUAAAUAUUUUUUCUGGAAGAAAGUCCAAAAAAAAAUUUAAAAAAAGACAUCUGCUUGAAAUAGAAAUAUAUUAUAGCCAGAUAUUAAGUCUUUGUCACUUUUGAUUAAUUGAAUGUGUCCCAAACUUAAACUUUGCUUGAGGUCAGCUCAGUUAUAGAAGUAUGUAUUUUUAAAAUGCAAUUUAAAUAAACAAAAGCAUAAUAUUUAGCCUGUUACCUAUUUUGUGAUAUUUUAGAUCUAUUUCUAUAGCAUUGCGGAAAGUAAAUACCAUUUCAUACACGUUUGCUUAUUU
rnacentral:lncRNA from 1 species